rnacentral:rRNA from 1 species
GCGUGAGUGAAGAAGGCCUUAGGGUUGUAAAGCUCUUUCAGUGGGGAAGAUGAUGACGGUACCCACAGAAGAAGCCCCGGCUAACUCCGUGCCAGCAGCCGCGGUAAUACGGAGGGGGCUAGCGUUGUUCGGAAUUACUGGGCGUAAAGGGCACGCAGGCGGCCUUGCCAGUCAGGUGUGAAAGCCCCGGGCUUAACCUGGGAACUGCACUUGAUACUGUGAGGCUUGAGACCGGGAGAGGGUGGUGGAAUUCCCAGUGUAGAGGUGAAAUUCGU